rnacentral:rRNA from 1 species
CCUACGGGUGGCAGCAGUCGAGAAUCAUUCACAAUGGGGGAAACUCUGAUGGUGCGACGCCGCGUGGGGGAAUGAAGGUCUUCGGAUUGUAAACCCCUGUCAUGUGGGAGCAAAUUAAAAAGAUAGUACCACAAGAGGAAGAGAAGGCUCACUCUGUGACAGCAGCCGCGGUAAUACGGAGGUCUCAAGCGUUGUUCGGAAUCACGGGGCGUAAGGGGUGCGUAGGCUGUAUAGUAAGUCGUGUGUGAAAGGCGCGGGCUCAACCCGCGGACGGCACAUGAUACUGCGAGACUAGAGUAAUGGAGGGGGAACCGGAAUUCUCGGUGUAGCAGUGAAAUGCGUAGAUAUCGAGAGGAACACUCGUGGCGAAGGCGGGUUCCUGGACAUUAACUGACGCUGAGGCACGAAGGCCAGGGGAGCGAAAGGGAUUAGAUACCCCAGUAGUC